GAGAUUCCCCCAGUAGCGGCGAGCGAACGGGGAGCAGCCCAGAGCCUGAAUCAGUGUGUGUGUUAGUGGAAGCGUCUGGAAAGGCGUGCGAUACAGGGUGACAGCCCCGUACACAAAAAUGCACAUACUGUGAGCUCGAUGAGUAGGGCGGGACACGUGGUAUCCUGUCUGAAUAUGGGGGGACCAUCCUCCAAGGCUAAAUACUCCUGACUGACCGAUAGUGAACCAGUACCGUGAGGGAAAGGCGAAAAGAACCCCGGCGAGGGGAGUGAAAAAGAACCUGAAACCGUGUACGUACAAGCAGUGGGAGCACGCUUAGGCGUGUGACUGCGUACCUUUUGUAUAAUGGGUCAGCGACUUAUAUUCUGUAGCAAGGUUAACCGAAUAGGGGAGCCGAAGGGAAACCGAGUCUUAACUGGGCGUUAAGUUGCAGGGUAUAGACCCGAAACCCGGUGAUCUAGCCAUGGGCAGGUUGAAGGUUGGGUAACACUAACUGGAGGACCGAACCGACUAAUGUUGAAAAAUUAGCGGAUGACUUGUGGCUGGGGGUGAAAGGCCAAUCAAACCGGGAGAUAGCUGGUUCUCCCCGAAAGCUAUUUAGGUAGCGCCUCGUGAAUUCAUCUCCGGGGGUAGAGCACUGUUUCGGCAAGGGGGUCAUCCCGACUUACCAACCCGAUGCAAACUGCGAAUACCGGAGAAUGUUAUCACGGGAGACACACGGCGGGUGCUAACGUCCGUCGUGAAGAGGGAAACAACCCAGACCGCCAGCUAAGGUCCCAAAGUCAUGGUUAAGUGGGAAACGAUGUGGGAAGGCCCAGACAGCCAGGAUGUUGGCUUAGAAGCAGCCAUCAUUUAAAGAAAGCGUAAUAGCUCACUGGUCGAGUCGGCCUGCGCGGAAGAUGUAACGGGGCUAAACCAUGCACCGAAGCUGCGGCAGCGACGCUUAUGCGUUGUUGGGUAGGGGAGCGUUCUGUAAGCCUGUGAAGGUGUGCUGUGAGGUAUGCUGGAGGUAUCAGAAGUGCGAAUGCUGACAUAAGUAACGAUAAAGCGGGUGAAAAGCCCGCUCGCCGGAAGACCAAGGGUUCCUGUCCAACGUUAAUCGGGGCAGGGUGAGUCGACCCCUAAGGCGAGGCCGAAAGGCGUAGUCGAUGGGAAACAGGUUAAUAUUCCUGUACUUGGUGUUACUGCGAAGGGGGGACGGAGAAGGCUAUGUUGGCCGGGCGACGGUUGUCCCGGUUUAAGCGUGUAGGCUGGUUUUCCAGGCAAAUCCGGAAAAUCAAGGCCGAGGCGUGAUGACGAGGCACUACGGUGCUGAAGCAACAAAUGCCCUGCUUCCAGGAAAAGCCUCUAAGCAUCAGGUAACAUCAAAUCGUACCCCAAACCGACACAGGUGGUCAGGUAGAGAAUACCAAGGCGCUUGAGAGAACUCGGGUGAAGGAACUAGGCAAAAUGGUGCCGUAACUUCGGGAGAAGGCACGCUGAUACGUAGGUGAAGCGACUUGCUCGUGGAGCUGAAAUCAGUCGAAGAUACCAGCUGGCUGCAACUGUUUAUUAAAAACACAGCACUGUGCAAACACGAAAGUGGACGUAUACGGUGUGACGCCUGCCCGGUGCCGGAAGGUUAAUUGAUGGGGUUAGCGCAAGCGAAGCUCUUGAUCGAAGCCCCGGUAAACGGCGGCCGUAACUAUAACGGUCCUAAGGUAGCGAAAUUCCUUGUCGGGUAAGUUCCGACCUGCACGAAUGGCGUAAUGAUGGCCAGGCUGUCUCCACCCGAGACUCAGUGAAAUUGAACUCGCUGUGAAGAUGCAGUGUACCCGCGGCAAGACGGAAAGACCCCGUGAACCUUUACUAUAGCUUGACACUGAACAUUGAGCCUUGAUGUGUAGGAUAGGUGGGAGGCUUUGAAGUGUGGACGCCAGUCUGCAUGGAGCCGACCUUGAAAUACCACCCUUUAAUGUUUGAUGUUCUAACGUGGACCCGUGAUCCGGGUUGCGGACAGUGUCUGGUGGGUAGUUUGACUGGGGCGGUCUCCUCCUAAAGAGUAACGGAGGAGCACGAAGGUUGGCUAAUCCUGGUCGGACAUCAGGAGGUUAGUGCAAUGGCAUAAGCCAGCUUGACUGCGAGCGUGACGGCGCGAGCAGGUGCGAAAGCAGGUCAUAGUGAUCCGGUGGUUCUGAAUGGAAGGGCCAUCGCUCAACGGAUAAAAGGUACUCCGGGGAUAACAGGCUGAUACCGCCCAAGAGUUCAUAUCGACGGCGGUGUUUGGCACCUCGAUGUCGGCUCAUCACAUCCUGGGGCUGAAGUAGGUCCCAAGGGUAUGGCUGUUCGCCAUUUAAAGUGGUACGCGAGCUGGGUUUAGAACGUCGUGAGACAGUUCGGUCCCUAUCUGCCGUGGGCGCUGGAGAACUGAGGGGGGCUGCUCCUAGUACGAGAGGACCGGAGUGGACGCAUCACUGGUGUUCGGGUUGUCAUGCCAAUGGCACUGCCCGGUAGCUAAAUGCGGAAGAGAUAAGUGCUGAAAGCAUCUAAGCACGAAACUUGCCCCGAGAUGAGUUCUCCCUGACCCUUUAAGGGUCCUGAAGGAACGUUGAAGACGACGACGUUGAUAGGCCGGGUGUGUAAGCGCAGCGAUGCGUUGAGCUAACCGGUACUAAUGAACCGUGAGGCUUAACCUUACAACGCCGAAG
rnacentral:rRNA from 1 species